rnacentral:rRNA from 1 species
AUUGAACGCUGGCGGCAGGCUUAACACAUGCAAGUCGAGCGGAGAUGAGGUGCUUGCACCUUAUCUUAGCGGCGGACGGGUGAGUAAUGCUUAGGAAUCUGCCUAUUAGUGGGGGACAACAUUCCGAAAGGAAUGCUAAUACCGCAUACAUCCUACGGGAGAAAGCAGGGGAUCUUCGGACCUUGCGCUAAUAGAUGAGCCUAAGUCGGAUUAGCUAGUUGGUGGGGUAAAGGCCUACCAAGGCGACGAUCUGUAGCGGGUCUGAGAGGAUGAUCCGCCACACUGGGACUGAGACACGGCCCAGACUCCUACGGGAGGCAGCAGUGGGGAAUAUUGGACAAUGGGGGAACCCUGAUCCAGCCAUGCCGCGUGUGUGAAGAAGGCCUUAUGGUUGUAAAGCACUUUAAGCGAGGAGGAGGCUACUGAGACUAAUACUCUGGGAUAGUGGACGUUACUCGCAGAAUAAGCACCGGCUAACUCUGUGCCAGCCGCCGCAGUAAGAC